rnacentral:rRNA from 1 species
CCCUUAGAUGUUCUGGGCCACACGCGCGCUACACUGAUUCAUGCAACAAGUUUUGUCCUUGGCUGAUAGGCCUGGGUAAUCUUUGAACGUGAAUCGUGAUGGGGAUAGAUGAUUGCAAUUAUUCAUCUUCAACGAGGAAUUCCUAGUAAACGCAAGUCAUCAGCUUGCAUUGAUUACGUCCCUGCCCUUUGUACACACCGCCCGUCGCACCUACCGAUUGAAUGGUCCGGUGAAAUCUUCGGAUCUGAGAGAUGUCUGAUUAAUUUCGGACGCCUUUUGGAAAAGUUGCUUAAACCUUACCAUUUAGAGGAAGGUGAAGUCGUAACA